GUGCUCCCUUCGGCAGCACAGAGACUAAAAUCGGAACGAUACAGAGCAGAUUAGCAUGGUUGCACAAGGAUGACACGCAAAUUCAUGAAGCAUUCCAUAGUUUC